rnacentral:rRNA from 1 species
AGUGAACGCUGGCGGUAGGCCUAACACAUGCGAGUCGAACGGCAGCACAGUAAGAGCUUGCUCUUACGGGUGGCGAGUGGCGGACGGGUGAGGAGUACAUCGGAAUCUACUUUUUCGUGGGGGAUAACGUAGGGAAACUUACGCUAAUACCGCAUACGACCUACGGGUGAAAGCAGGGGAUCUUCGGACCUUGCGCGAUUGAAUGAGCCGAUGUCGGAUUAGCUAGUUGGCGGGGUAAAGGCCCACCAAGGCGACGAUCCGUAGCUGGUCUGAGAGGAUGAUCAGCCACACUGGAACUGAGACACUGUCCAGACUCCUACGGGAGGCAGCAGUGGGGAAUAUUGGACAAUGGGCGCAAGCCUGAUCCAGCCAUACCGCGUGGGUGAAGAAGGCCUUCGGGUUGUAAAGCCCUUUUGUUGGGAAAGAAAAGCAGCAGGUUAAUACCCCGCUGUUCUGACGGUACCCAAAGAAUAAGCACCGGCUAACUUCGU